rnacentral:rRNA from 1 species
AUACGGAGGGUCCGAGCGUUAAUCGGAAUUACUGGGCGUAAAGCGCGCGUAGGUGGUUCAGUCAGUCAGAUGUGAAAGCCCCGGGCUCAACCUGGGAACUGCACCUGAUACUGCUGAGCUAGAGUACGGUAGAGGGCAGUGGAAUUUCCGGUGUAGCGGUGAAAUGCGUAGAGAUCGGAAGGAACACCAGUGGCGAAGGCGACUGCCUGGACUGAUACCGACACUGAGGUGCGAAAGCGUGGGUAGCAAACAGGAUUAGAUACCCUGGUAGUCCACGCCGUAAACGAUGUCAACUAGCCGUUGGGGGACUUGAUCCUUUAGUGGCGAAGCUAACGCGAUAAGUUGACCGCCUGGGGAGUACGGCCGCAAGGUUAAAACUCAAAUGAAUUGACGGGG